rnacentral:lncRNA from 1 species
UUCUUUCUUUCUUUCUUUCUUUCUUUCUUUCCUCCUUCCUUCCUUCCUUCCUUCCUUCCUUCCUUCCUUCCUUCCUUCCUUCCUUCUUUCCUUUUGGCCACACUCACAGCAUGUGGAAAUUCCUGGGCUAGGGAUCAAAUCCGAGGCUCAGCUUCAGCCUAUGCCACAGCUGUGGCAACACCAGAUCCUCAAGCCACUGUGCCAGGCCAGGGAUCAAACCUGUGCCACCACAGAAACAGUGUCAGAUCUUUAACCCACUGUGUCACAGCAGGAACUCCUGUUUUUGUUUUUAGCUGCACCUACAGCAUGUAGAAGUUCCAGGGCCAAGGAUCAAACCUACACCAUAGCAUGGACCUGAACCACAGCAGUGACAAGGCCAGACGCUUAACCUGCUGAGCCACCCCAUUCCCCUAGAUGCUUUCUUUGAUAGAAGGCACUGCCAGCUCUUUAUCGUCCCCUCCCCACCCUUCUGCAUGCUUCUUACCAUGUCAUAGGCAUGUGACCCAGUGAGAGCUAAUGGGAUGUGCUGAGGGAAAUAGCCAGAGAUGCCAGGAAAGGAUUCUCUCCCUGUUGAUGCAUAGCAGCGGACACUCCUUUUUGUCCAGUAUUGUUGGCCAUUUUGCCUCCAUGAGGAACCAAGCCCUAAGGAUCAAGCCUAUGAACUAAGGUUGGGAAAAGUCUGAAUGUUCAAUAAGAGCACUAAACAAUCCUGGACCUACCUUUCAGAUUUCAGGUUGCCAACCACCUAAGGCAUCUAAUCUGAUAAAAAGGUACUGUACUGUGUAUACAUGUACUCAGUCUUUACCUUUGAUAAACCCUGACACGUAGACAUCAUUAGGUGGGAGAGGUAAGUGAGGUGACUGGUGGCCAUAAUUUGGAGAUAAAGACAAUGAAUAGAGAUGCCCUCACUGGGGCCUCAAAUCAAGUUUUGCUGGGGCUUGAAUGCAGAGAAACUCUCUUGGUUAGGGGUCCUACAGGUCUCUCCCAGGAUGCUGAUCUUUGCCCUGACACCUUCUUAAACAGGAACUAAAGAUUAAUCACGCUCUGGGUUAACACACAAAGGGAAAAUAGUACAUUUUCUUCUUGUGUUUUCUACUGCCUUUAUUAAGGAGGACCAUGACUUUGCUUCACUGAAAUAUGAUCUACUUUAAUUAAAGCCAGUGGCAUUGAGUAAAUUAGAACAUAAUUGCAUUUUCCAUGAAUUUCACACAGCUUGCAUUUUACCAAAAGGAACCCAGUUUCAGUCAAUGCUUGUGUGCUGAUACCUGAAAUCAGGCCUUAUUAAACUGAACAAAUCAUGUCUUCAUGCAAGUUAGGUAAGCACAAAUACAAGGCCAAUUCAUAUAGAUUCAGAUUUCUGCUAUUUGGAAAAGCAGAGCUUGGAAAGAGCUAUUCAAAAGGGAAACUUUCAAGGCAAACCAUCUCAGAGAGCCUAGAUUUCCUCCAUUCCAAAAAUGAUUUGCCCUAGAAGGCUUUUGUCUCCCUUUAAGACUAUUUUUUUCUCCACUUAUUUUGACUGAGAUGAUAUAAUUUUAAGAUAGUGGUAAAAGGAAAUUCCUGAAUUGGGGAUUUGGUCAGUGAAAGAACACCAAUUUUAAGGAGUUCCCAUCAUGGCUUGGUGGAAAAGAAUCUGACUAGCAUCCAUGAAGACACAGGUUUGAUCCCUGGCCUCACUCAGUGGGUUAAGGAUCUGGCAUUGCCAUGAGCUGUGGUGUGGUGUAGGCCAGUGGCUACAGCUCCAAUUCAACCCCUAGCCUGAGAACCUCCAUGUGCUGCAGGUGCAGCCCUAAAAAUUAAAAAAAAAAAAAAAGGUGAAUAAUGGUAAAUACAAUCAGUCCUAUUUUCAGAGUCAGAGGCAAGAUAACAGACAUGUAUGAAUAUAGCCCAUGAACUAUGGGGUCAUGAGCUUAGGUCUCAUUUGAAAUCUCGUCUUCAACCUACUUCUUGGGAGAGUGAGACUAACCAAUGCACAAUGAAGCUGUCUCAGUCCCCUCACUGGAGCCGUUAGACUCCUUGUUUUCCAAGGCCCCAUAUGGUACACUCACCUCCAGCCAAUUGGCCUGGAAAAGCUAGCUGUGACUUCACAGGGGGUUGGGGCAUGAAGCUUCCUACAAAUCAGCAGAAAUCUACCUACAUCAAAAGAUCAGUGCCAGCUCAGCCAGAAUUGUGCAUUUCAGCAAGUCAUUUUUGGAAUCAGUUGCUGGGACACACACACACACACACCACACACACACCACACACUCACAGGGGCCAUCUAUACUGAAUAAAAAACACCGAAGGAGAACAUAUAAAGAGCCAGAGAUAAUCCUAGGUGGGUAUGUCAGUGAGACCAUCCAUAUACAAAUGAUAUUUGUGUAAAAUAUUUGCACCUUCCUGGGCAAGGCAAAUAGAGAGUUUUUUCAUAGAAGCCCUUCAUUAGUGUAAAGAAAUAUAGUCUGAGUGUCAUAUAUCUUGUUUUUCUAUUUACUUCUCUUCACUUAUUCACACAAAGAAGGUCCUUCAAUUCAGCCCAAGGGUCCAACUUAAAGAUACUUCUUUGGCAAUAUUUAGCUUUUACCAAAUUCUUCUGGGUAAUUCAUUAAACAGCUUGUGACUAACCAAGAGUUGACACCUUCACAGUACCCAUACAUUUUUGCAUUUCAAAAAUACUGUUAAAGAGUCAUUGAUGUUGCUAAGUUUGAGCAAAUAUUUGAAAUUUUUUCUCUCCCAACUCCAAGAACUGCCAAGUGGUUCUGUGUAUCUCUGGUCUUAUAUCAGUACAUGAAUAAAUGAGCCCAAAGACAUUUGCACGUAUAUACAAUAUUGCCUUAAAAAUCCCCUCUCUAAAACUGGAUCAGUUGAAAUACUACUCAGCCAUAAAAAAGAACAGAAUAAUGCCAUUUUCACAACAUGGAUGGAACUAGAGAGUCUCAUAGUAAGUGAAGUAAGUCAGAAAGAGAAAGACAAAUACCAUAUGAUAUCACUUAUAUCUGGAAUCUAAUAUAUGGCACAAGUGAAUCUUUACACAGAAAAGAAAAUCAUGGACUUGGAGAACAGACUUGUGGUUGCCAAGGGGGAGGGGGAGGGGAAGGGAGUGGGAUGGACUGGGAAUUUGGGGUUAAUAGAUCAAACUGUUGCCUUUGGAAUGGAUAAGCAAUGAGAUCCUGCUGUAUAGCACUGGGAACCAUAUCUAGUCACUUAUGAUGGAGCAUGAUAAUGUGAGAAAAAGAAUGUAUAUAUGUAUGUGUGACUGGGUCACCUUGCUGUACAGUAGAAAAUUGACAGAACACUGUAAACCAGCUAUGAUGGAAAAAAUAAAAAUCAUUUUAAAAAUAAAUGAAAUUGGAUUGGUAAUUUAUGAACAUUUUCUACAUUUGGAUCUACAGAUUUUGUCUCUUCUAAACCUCAAGAAGCCUACAAGAAAACUUACUUGAUAGUCUUACCAUACCCACCCUGUUUUCACGUGAAUACAAGAUCUUUUCCAAACCUAUUCCUCCAGUAGUUGUUUUUCAGUGAUUCAAGAAGCCCAGCUAUUGUGUAAAAUAUCUAAACACAUUGUCACCCAAGUAUUCUCUCUUUAUUACUUCCAAUGCCCUAUCUUACCCUGGGUUCUCACAGUCUCUCAUCCAUUUCAGUAGGCUUUAAUUCAUCUCACUUCUGCCAAUACUAACACAUAUUACACAGGUGCACACACACACAUCACACACAAUCACACACUGUGUGAACCCUUCCACUCUGUUCAGAGGGCUUUCUUUUUCUUUUUAAUGCUAAAACCUAGUUGUGUCUCUCUCCUCCUGAGCUGUUACUAUAGGGUUUGUUGACAAGUUCUCAACACCCAAUCCUGUAACACACAUGAACACAUGAAGUCCAGAACAAAUUCCAUAUUCUAAAACAGAGACCAGUAAACUCUGUCUCACUGGCCAAACCCAGCCCACAACCUAGUUUUAUAAAUAGAGUUUAAUUAGACAGCCACACCCAUUUGCUUAGGUAUUGUCUUUGGAUGCCUUCAUGCUAUAACAGCAGAGUGGAAUAGUUGCAACAGAGACUGUAGGUAGCCCACAACCUAAAAUACUAUCUGGGCCUUUAUAGAAAAAUGUUUACUAAACUCUGUUGCAUAUACCUCAGGACAUUUUUUUUACAAUCUGUCCAAAUACCAUUACCGUAUAAGCAAAUUGAGUCCUUAAUAUGUGUUAGUCACAAUUUCAGGCCAAUGGAUAUCUUAUUUUAUAUUGCUAUUGAAUGGAGAAACAGAGGCACAGAGAGGUUAAAUUACUUGUUCAAAGAAUUCCUGUAGCAAUUAAGUGGUCAAGUCAGGAACCAAACCUUGCUCGCUGGAUUCCAGAACUUUUUCUUAACUGUUACAUAAUCACCCUCACCCCAACAAUUGAGAAAAUUUUCCCAUUCACAUGGCUGUGCUCCACACAUGCUGUUAUCUCUCUUGGGAUAGGAUCUUCUGUAGAAAAGAGCGACCAAUGAGCUAUAUAUGUGUCCGUCAGGUCUGAAUGUUCAGCAUGCACCAUGUUAUUCUUGAGACAGUUGCUUCAUCUUUGCCCAGGCCCCCGCCCCCUGCCAUCUUGCUUUCACUUGUUCAAUUAAUUUGAUACUUUUCUGUCCUAGACUAGGGAGUGAAGAAAACGUUCUUUAAAAUUUUUCUAAUUCUCAGUUCCUUGACAGCUCAAUCUUCAAAAGAUGAAGUUCACUGUCAAUCUCCAUUUUUUCAAGUGUCAAGCAAAUAAUGUCUUCUUCAAUGGGUAGAUUUCACCCUCUCAACUAAUUAUCCUAAGUUUACUUCCUAUCUCACAGCACACAGGACCACACCUUGCAAAUGCAAUUACACAUCUGGUGAAUGAAUGAGUGAAUGAAGGAUUGAUCCUCAGGCCAAGAGUUGGCCCACAAGGCAGGGAAGGCCUUGAUAGAAACAGCAUUGAAACUGGCAGCUCACAGAGCAUGAAGGCUGAGUCAGGCCUCAGCUCCUUCACUACAUUACCUAACAAAUCGUGUGUGUAAGUAUCACUGGCCCCCAGACACCCACUACUACUUCCAACACUGAUCUCAUUACAUUAGCCACCUAUUACCUCGCUAGUGCAGGCAGCUCUGGAAGAACAAGCCCAUUUCCCAAAGUGUAAAUACAACUCCCAAUAAUGCCAACCUUCUGAGAUGGAUCAGCUCCCAGAAGCACAAGGGGUCAACCGCAAAGCUCGGUCAGGUCACACAUUUCCUCUGCAAGGCUUCUCUUAGCGAGGCGAGGAUGUAAACUGCCACUUUGGACGGAGAACAUGAUGCAAAAAUCACACAGUGUGUGAGGAUGUCUUCGGGCACCUUAACCAAACCUAAGUCACAGCAGAGUGAUGCUUAGCUUUGCUUCCUGAUCUCAGCCUCCCUUCCACGUGAGAAAGGGAGGCUGUGGGAGCCGAAGCCCAGAGCAGGGCACGCUCUCUCGCGAGACUCCUGAAUUUCUGCGAGAAUAUCCAUCCUCUUCCCUCAGACGGCGCGCUACUCUAACCAGAGGGGGUUUUGAGAAGUUUGAAGCUCCUUUGUCUUUUCUGUUUCUGUCCAAAUAGUGAAAGUUUUUGGUGUCAAAUGAGCAGUUAAAUGGAGUGAUGGUAGGUAUGGCCACAGGAGUGGAAAACAGGGCUGUGUGAAAAGCUUAAAGAAAGAAAAUUGACUUUAUGCAAAUAAAAUCUGGCUACAUUUUUCGUGUUUUGAAAAUGAGCAUAAAAAAGAACUUGCCCCAGUGUUUUUGGUUUUUUGUUGUUGUUGUUGUUUUAAUGUAUGAUUUAAAACUCUGGAUUUGAUUUAUCAAAAUCAACGUUAUCUUUCUAUUCAGGACCUUAUUUCCUAUUGCAUAAAAGAGGGUAUUUCUGAAAUAGUUUUCAAGUAAAGCACGUUCCCAGAUAGUGUCCGUCUUCUCUUAGAAAUGCGAAGUAGAAGACAGAUAUGCCUGUGGGACAGAAGAGCUAUUUAGUUAUUUACAGGAGAUUAGUUUCUGUAUGUUCAAAUUAUUAAGCUCUUGGAUCCUUGCCUGGUAACCAUC